CUGUUAUAUCUCUCCACACCCACUAUAUCUUCCCCAUCCCUAACCUCUAUUCAUCGCUUUCCAAUUCCAAACCCUAAUUCUUCCAUUUCUCUCUAUUUUUCGUUUCUUUUUUCUAGCUACCAUGUUCGGGUGUUAGGAAAAUCUCCGCCAAAUUCAAGCCGAAAGAAAAUCUCUUGCUGCGGGUACAGUUAUACUCGCGCUUCUUUCGCUCAUUUUCUUUCUCAUUUAUCCGUCAUCGUUUGUGUGACGAGAGGCACGAAUUGCGUGAUGUGGUUGUUGUUUAGUUUGGAUCUGUUUAUCGAGAUAAGCGAUUUGUUCUAUUUCGUUUGGUUUGUGGAUUUUACUCUGUAAUUCUCUAAUCGCUCAGCGUUCUGAUCGAAAGAUCGUCGGGGUUUUUCGGGUGUAAUGGCACUUUAUGACAGCACUGAAUCUGUAUCAAUUGGAAACCGUUUCGAUGGAAAUGCACGGAAGUAAAGCGGAGAACGAUCUCGCGAGAUUAUUGGGGGAUGGUGGUGGUGUUGAACACUAAAUCGAAUGACAUAACUUUUGCACUUAACUGAAUAAUAAGGAAACCUUGAUGCCAGAGACAUAAAAGCAGAGCUACAAAUAAAGUAACGAUUUUGGUGAAGCAUCCUGAGCGGCAAGCACCUAUCACUAAUAUUUAGCUUACCUUGAAAGGUGCUCUAAAACAUUCUGAGUGAGGAAAACACCUAUCACCGAGUCAACAACAGACCCUUUCCACUUUGAAAAGCUUCUAUCUCCUACAAUAUAGAGGAGUUGCACCUUUGAAAUUUCAAUCAGCUUGUAAAGUCUUUUGGCAACAGGAAGUAUCAAAAGAAUUUGUGGCUGAGUCGUGUUUGUUCUCAGUGCUUUUGCAAUAUUUUCUCAUGGAACCCUUUGCUUCAAUGGAAUUGGAGAGGAUGUUAGGCACCAACUGCAGGGUAUUUUGACAAAUCUGUUCUCCAGUCUUCUGAGAGUUUUCAAACCAUUUUUCUGAUUGAUAGAGGAUAUUACCAAUUUUUUUUGCAUGAUGAUUAUACUGCUGCAUAAAUCCAUUAUCCUUCCUGGCUCAGAUCAGAAUUUCCCUGAGCUGGAACUUCCUCAGUGACUGGAAAUUUUGCUAUCUGUGGUUCUUCUGUAAUUGCUGACAAGGCUGUGACUGAUUUCCUUUCUGACUGGAAAUUAUCAGUUUGCUUUUUAUGUAGAAGUUGAUUAUCAACAGUGUUUUUUGGUAGGUUUUCUGUUUUAAGCUCAUUGCACAAGCUGAUCAGCAAAGUUGAGUUUGUAUCAUAGAUUAUAGUUGCCCCACCCAGCAUCUCUGUGGCCUUGUGGUCUGAAUUGUUAUUGAGAGCUUUCUUAUUUGUAUGGGGGAUCUCCUGAUGGGAUCCUAUUUUGCUCUGGCUUUCAUAUUUAGUAUGUUCUAAGUCAAAAUUUAGAGCUCUCCAGCAGGACUUUUUAGUUGAAACAGCAGAAUCAACAAUUUCAUCUAUAACAUCAGUCUGUGGUGUCACGGCAGAUUUCCGGACAUAUUUCCUCUUUGCGUGGAUUCUCUUUGAACUGUGUCUUUUGAGUUGCAGAUUUUGUACUUCUUUUUGGCUUGGCCUCUACAAUUACCUUUGGCCUAUGUUUUCUUUUUUGGGGUGCUUUCUGCUCAGGUGUCUUGUUCAGGUCAAAACCCAGGACAAUUCGCUUGCCGCAAAUGUUGUCAGAACGCUUUUGAUCCCCAUAUGUUGUAGAAAUUGUUGCAGAUGAUGAAUCAACAAUUUGCUGUAGAAGUCCAUCACAAUAUUCCUGAACUUCAUUUUCUGUGGAAGCAACCAAUUCUUUUCGUUGGUCUUUCUCCUGACUCGUGCUUCCAGUUAUUGUAUACUCUGAUAUUGUACAAAACUGGUUGUUCACAAAUUUGAGUUGACCCAUCACAUUUGGUACUGAUGGGAGAAAAUUGGUAAAAGUAGGAGUUGCAUCAACUUCAGCUAUUGACACGUAGUUCAGAUUAUAAUUAUGUUAAAUUUGGUAUCAGAGCUUCUGAAAUUGGGAGCUCUGGUUUUGCUGCCAUGUCCGCAGCUGCCACUGCCACUGCCACUGUUUGCUGCCAUUGAAGUCAAUGGUGGGCCAGAAAGGUAUGCCCUAAAGUGACAAUCACAACGCAGCCCAUACUUACUGGGAGCUCCAGUGAAGCCCUGUUAGGUUCCUGGGUACGAAACCUAAUUGUCUCACAACCCACACUCACAAUUGCACACAAAGGGGAAAUAAACGAAAGAAUUGUAUGUAUUCACACGAACGAAUGUCGUAUACAAUGAUGACACGGGAGCCUAACACCCUCACAAGGUCCAAGACCUGUCUAUACAAAAGAAUAUGACUAACUGCCUUCUAACAAUGAAUAGAACCCUCCCUUCCCUCCUUUCCUAACUACUAAAACAGUUAGAAUAUUAACUUUGUAUUAACUCUUCCUUCUCUCUUAAACCCAUUAUCUCCUAUUAUUUAUAUCCUAUUAAGCCCCCUCACUAUUGUGGCCACUACUUUUAAUAUAACUCAAUUUCACAAAAUUGGAUUAUUCUGAGAUUUAAAUUUGUUCAUAUAAUAUAUUUUAGUCAUGUUUCUCAUUGGUAUGGGAUAUCUAACCAGAAAGAAACUUCUUUUUUCGCCAAAAAGUUCCAGAUUGUCGAUGUUCUCACUAAAGCCUUUUGCCUCCUCAAUUCAGGGCUCUUUGGCUCGAGCUUAGAGUUGUGGAUUCGCAUGCUCAUCACCAUUCUUGAGCUUGCAGGGGUGUAUUGGAGUAUAUACAUCUCUCAGUUGUAUUUUUUUUUUCUUUUCUGGGAUCUCUGUAAAAAAUCAAUUUGUAAAGUUAACUAAACUGUCAGUUACCAUUUGAUAUCUUUACUACAGUUAGCUCAUCUCUGUAAAGUUAUAAAUAGCUCAAACUUACUAUAGUAAAAUACGUUUUGUAAUGUCUUAUUCAUAUUGUAUCAGACUCUCUACUGUUAUUCUAAUAUGGAUGUUAAUCUACUUUAUGCAAAUUAAUCGAUUCA